rnacentral:lncRNA from 1 species
UUAUACUCACUCUCAGCAGAAGCCAUGCUGACUGGCUGACGGGCUUUCUCAGUGCUUAUGACCUUGUGCUUUUCAGGGUCAGCAGGGGGUUGACAAGUUUUCCAAUACUUGAUGGACAAGAUUGGAAGAGCCAUUAGACCCAGAAGAGGCAAUGAGUUCCCACAGGAGUUGCGGGAAUUCACAAUGUGUAGCCAGAGAAAGGAAUCCUCACUGCCUUGCCUUUAAUGUCUGACACACGUGCUCAAACCUACCUGGUGUCACAGAUAGAUGCCUGGCUCACUCGAAAUAGGACCAGGCCCUGCGGUGUAGGUUACAGGGAGACCGUGUUGCAGUAAUCUGUAGGAAACAAAAUCAUUCUCUCUGGUAUGCAAACUGACCUCUACCUUUGAAUUCACGUAGGUGCUAAGAACCUGCCUCCAUUGGAAACAUCAUGGAGGAGGUGGCUCUAAAAGCCCUUCCUUCAUAGCCUCAGAUUCUACUUCAGUAGGAUCACUUCAGAAAACACGACAACUGAUGCAAACGGACAUCCCUUCUGUCUGUCUUCACUUCCAUUUCUAAAACAUAUUUUACCUUUUAGUUUUGAGCCUCAGAUGAAUAGUUGAAUCAUGAAACGCUGUAAGAAUUGGUCCAAGAACCAUGCAGCCACGUAUAGAGAAAGAGGAAUUAGGUAAUGAAUUCUAUUGAUCCCAGAGACGCUCUCUGUUCAUUGUGUGCUCCUUUCGAGUCAGCGGAUGAAGCGAUUCCACGGGGCGUGUUCAGCUAGAGAGCUGGGAUGCUGAGCUAAACAAAUUAUGUGACUGACAGUGCUACCGCCGUGCAGAGAAAUAUGAACAUGAUUUACUUGCAAUUAGAACAAAGCUCCAAAGUAAUGGAUUUGUUCUCCCAGGUCGUUAAAGUUCAUUUCCAAAGCCGUGCAUUUCGUUUUUCUUUAAGCAGUCCCAGCCCAUAAAAAGUGCACACAUAAUAAACAACAAGCCGCUAAAACCAAGUCAACAUUUCUUAGGUACAAUUUAACCUGGCAUCUUAACCAGCAUUGAUUUUUCCCCCCUUUCCCUCCCUCCCCUUUUAAUUAUGGCAUGUGUUUGGCCACACAGGCAUUACAUAUUCAGCGUUCUUCAGUCUUUUUGUUUGCUAGGUGGUGGUUAAUGGUUUAAAUCUAGGGUGUCAUUUUUCUUGAGAAAAAUCCCUAAAUCCGUUUUUCCUAAAAGCUCUGGCCAAGAGAGAACUUUAAGGCAGUUUUUGCCUCCUUGUGGCUGGCGGUCACACUAACGGAUGGCCCUGCAUACUUUGUGUUUGACGCAGGUUCUGGGCUGACAAACAUCAAGACGGAAGAGAUCUCGGAAGUGAAGAUGGAUGCAGAAUUCGGACAUGAUUCAGGAUUUGAAGUCCGCCAUCAAAAACUGGUAGGCAAAAAUAAACUGCCUCUCCCCGAGAUUGCGUCUGGCCAGAUGAAAUACGUGGCACCUCGUGGCUUGUCCUGUGUCAAAACUGAGAAGGACUACUGGGAAUAAAACCAAAAUGCCUGCCUAGAUCUUCACAAAGAUAGGAAGGAGAGGAAGUGGGGCUCUGUUGAUAGUUCUUGCUGAGCAGAAGCCGCUGAGCCCAGGCGGAACAUACAAGUGUAAUUCAGUCCAACGUUGCAGCUACGUGAGCUGACUUCCUAGGAAAAUGGUUUUUUCGGGUUAAACACAUCUAAUCCCAAUAUCCAAACUGGAAGGCAGGAUACCACAAACAAGAAAUUCAAGUCCAUGAGGCUCUGAUAUUACUGUGUGGGGGAAGCAUAAGUGAAUUUCAUUUAGAGGUGGUCCCAGUUUCCAAGAUGGUCUCAUUAUGUAAAUACC